GCCAAAGCGGCCUCGAAGCGGGUCCCGUGUCUGCGGCGGGCGGCCCCCGGCGCGGAGGGCAGGGCGCGGGGAGCCCGGGCUCCCGGUGUCGGCGGAUGGCGGGAGCCCGGGGGCCGCGGGCUCGCGGGGCAGCGGGCGAGAGACGAGACGCCGAGAAUAUGCUUUUUGUCUAAUGAUGUUAGAUAAAAAGCAAAUUUGGAGCAGUUUUCUUAUUCGAGUUCAAAAUGGUUCAUAAAGCAGCGAAGACAACUCAAAACAUCAGUAACACAUUUGGCCCAGGAACUGCUAACAAACAUACAGUGCAGUGGUGGCUUAAGAAGUUUUGCAAGGAAGAGAGCCUUGAAGAUGAGGAACGUGAUAUGGGCCAUGGGAAGUUGACAACGACCAAUUGAGAGCAAUCAUUGAACUACAUGAAAAAUUACAGAAGAACUCAGCGUUGACUAUUCUACGGUCAUUAGGGUCGCUCAGCAUUAGAAGCAAAUCGGAAAGGUGAAAAAGCUUGAUAAGUGGGUGCCUCAUGAGCUGAGCGGAAAUCAAAACUAUCGUUUUGAAGUGUAGUCUUCUUUUAUGCUACGCAAUAACAAACCAUUUCUCAAUCGGAUUGUGACAUGUAACGAAAAGUGAAUUUUAUACAACAACCCGCUCAGUGGUUGGACCAAGAGGCAGCUCCAGAGCAGUUCCCAAAGCCAAACUUGCACCAAAAAAAAGGUCAUGGUCACUGUUUGGUGGUCUGCUGCCCAUCUGAUCCACUACAGUUUUCUGAAUCCUGGCGAAACCAUUACAUCUGAGAAGUAUGCUCAGCAAAUUGGUAAGAUGCACCGAAAACUGCAAUACCUGCUGCCUGCAUUGGUCAACAGAAAGGGCCCAAUUCUUCUCCACGACAACACCUGACUGCGUGUUGCACAACCAGUGCUUCAAAAGUUGAAGGAAUUGGGCUACAAAGUUUUGCCUCAUCCACCAUAUUCACCUGACCUUUCGCCAACUGACUACCACUUCUGCUAGCAUCUUGACAACUUUUUGCAGGGAAAACACUUCAGCAUGAUGCAGAAAAUGCUUUCCAAGAGUUCGUCAAAUCCUGAAGCACGGAUUUUUAUGCUACAGGAAUAAACAAACAUUUCUCAUUGGCAAAAAUGUGUUGAUUGUAAUGGUUCCUGUUUUGAUUAAUAGAAUAUGUUUUAGCGUAGUUACAAUGAUUUAAAAUUCGCAGUCUGGAAAUUUAAUUUUUGCAUCAACCUAAUAUUUCUAUGGUAAAUCCUUGCAAACAUGGAAACAAUGCAUUUGGCCCAGUGCUUUGUGGUUGUGUACUCUUUUUCUUUCUUUUUUUAAUAGAUGGCAUUGGCCGGGCAUGGUGGCUCAUGCCUGUAAUCCCAGCAUUUUGGGAGGGUGAGGUGGGUGGAUCACCUGAGGUCAGGAGUUCAAGACCAGCCUGACUAACAUGGUAAAACCCCAUCUCUACUAAAAAUACAAAAAAAUUAGGCGGGGUGGCGGGCAUCUAAUUCCAGCUACUUCAUGAGGCUGCAACAGGAGAAUCAUUUGAACCCGGGAGGCAGAGGUUGCAGUGAGCCGAGAUCACACCAUUGCACUCCAGCCUGGGCGAUGAGUGAAACUGUCUCAAAAAAAAAAAAAAA
rnacentral:antisense_RNA from 1 species